rnacentral:rRNA from 1 species
GAGCAGCCCAGAGCCUGAAUCAGUGUGUGUGUUAGUGGAAGCGUCUGGAAAGGCGCGCGAUACAGGGUGACAGCCCCGUACACAAAAAUGCACAUGCUGUGAGCUCGAUGAGUAGGGCGGGACACGUGGUAUCCUGUCUGAAUAUGGGGGGACCAUCCUCCAAGGCUAAAUACUCCUGACUGACCGAUAGUGAACCAGUACCGUGAGGGAAAGGCGAAAAGAACCCCGGCGAGGGGAGUGAAAAAGAACCUGAAACCGUGUACGUACAAGCAGUGGGAGCACGCUUAGGCGUGUGACUGCGUACCUUUUGUAUAAUGGGUCAGCGACUUAUAUUCUGUAGCAAGGUUAACCGAAUAGGGGAGCCGAAGGGAAACCGAGUCUUAACUGGGCGUUAAGUUGCAGGGUAUAGACCCGAAACCCGGUGAUCUAGCCAUGGGCAGGUUGAAGGUUGGGUAACACUAACUGGAGGACCGAACCGACUAAUGUUGAAAAAUUAGCGGAUGACUUGUGGCUGGGGGUGAAAGGCCAAUCAAACCGGGAGAUAGCUGGUUCUCCCCGAAAGCUAUUUAGGUAGCGCCUCGUGAAUUCAUCUCCGGGGGUAGAGCACUGUUUCGGCAAGGGGGUCAUCCCGACUUACCAACCCGAUGCAAACUGCGAAUACCGGAGAAUGUUAUCACGGGAGACACACGGCGGGUGCUAACGUCCGUCGUGAAGAGGGAAACAACCCAGACCGCCAGCUAAGGUCCCAAAGUCAUGGUUAAGUGGGAAACGAUGUGGGAAGGCCCAGACAGCCAGGAUGUUGGCUUAGAAGCAGCCAUCAUUUAAAGAAAGCGUAAUAGCUCACUGGUCGAGUCGGCCUGCGCGGAAGAUGUAACGGGGCUAAACCAUGCACCGAAGCUGCGGCAGCGACGCUUAUGCGUUGUUGGGUAGGGGAGCGUUCUGUAAGCCUGUGAAGGUGUGCUGUGAGGCAUGCUGGAGGUAUCAGAAGUGCGAAUGCUGACAUAAG